UGAAAAAUAAAAGGCGCUUCCUGGUGACCUCACGCAGCGUCACUAACCUGCCAAAUUGUUUUUCUGUAUUGUGCGCUGCUCUGACACAGACAACUGAUUAUGAGAAGCUGAAGUUACAGAGAGCAUCAAGAACAAGUGUAUUUCAAGUACACUGGACAUGUCAGACCCUAAAAGAGCUGGAGCCGAUGCUGGAUCAGUAGUGUCAGACCCUCAACACUCCCAAAAGCUUCUAAGGGUCCUUCAGUCUUUCAGACAAGAUGAUUGUUUUCAAGAUGCAGUGCUGGUUUUGGAUGGUGAACAGAUUCCUGUUC